rnacentral:rRNA from 1 species
GACGAACGCUGGCGGCGUGCCUAACACAUGCAAGUCGAGCGAUGAAGUUCUUCGGAACGGAUUAGCGGCGGACGGGUGAGUAACACGUGGGCAACCUGCCUUGUAGAGGGGAAUAGCCUUCCGAAAGGAAGAUUAAUACCGCAUAACAUUGUGUCUUCGCAUGAAGAUAUAAUUAAAGGAGUGAUCCGCUACAAGAUGGGCCCGCGGCGCAUUAGUUAGUUGGUGAGGUAACGGCUCACCAAGGCAACGAUGCGUAGCCGACCUGAGAGGGUGAUCGGCCACAUUGGGACUGAGACACGGCCCAGACUCCUACGGGAGGCAGCAGUGGGGAAUAUUGCACAAUGGGGGAAACCCUGAUGCAGCAACGCCGCGUGAGUGAUGACGGCCUUCGGGUUGUAAAGCUCUGUCUUCGGGGACGAUAAUGACGGUACCCGAGGAGGAAGCCACGGCUAACUACGUGCCAGCAGCCGCCGUAAUAC